GAAGCUGGACAAGAUGGUUGCACGGCUGUUUGAUAACAGCCGCGAGGAAAGUCCGAGCUCCAAAGGGUUAUGCACCCGGGUAAUGCCGGGCCUUCCUGCAAAAUUUGCAGGAUGAGGAUCUCCGCCACAAAUUAUGGCGGACCCGCCAAUGUAUUUUGGCGGGAGAGCUACAGUGACGAUACUUUUUAUGUGGUCUGUGCUCUGUGCUCUGUGAUCAUAGAUUUGCCGAUCACGGACCACGGGUCACAGAUCACUUAGAGAGGGUGAAACGAGCAAUCUCUGCAUGGAGCAAGGCCAAAUAGGGAAAGAGGAUCUUUGAUCCGCCUGGCGAACCCGUUCGGCCACUAUUUCCGGGUAGGCCGCAAGAGUAUGGCCCUGUUUUAAACAGGAUUCAGUAAUGGCCAUAGUGAGUUGAAUAACCAUCGAGCAAGAAAUCUGUUAUCAGAUUUCCUGCUUUUACAAAACUCGGCUUAUGAACAGCUUCUUAG
rnacentral:RNase_P_RNA from 1 species